GCAACAAACACGGCGGGAGCGGGAAUGAACACCUACACCAUGUUGCAUUGCACGAGGCGGCCAUGGAUGCAUGAAGGUAGAGACUGCAGUUCCAUUCCCUUGUUCUUAUCAACCAAUCUUGGACACAUCUAUUCACAAAUAGCUUAAACGCAAACUGCUACAAAGUACGAAGAAUGCUGUUCUGCUAAGGAUUCAAAAGAGGGCGGUUGCGACACGAACUUGGUAUCAUCAUGAAGAAAAUCUCAGCAAUUUCGCUGCGAUUUCACUUUGAAGUUAACCAAAAUGUCAUAAUUUGAUUCCAGGAAGAUUUCACUUCGAAGUUAACCAAAAUGUCAUCAAUUGAAUCCAGCAAGAUUUCACUUCGAAGUUAACCAAAAGGUCAUCAAUUGAAUCCAGCAAGAUUUCACUUCGAAGUUAACCAAAAUGUCAUCAAUUGAAUCCAGCAAGAUUUCACUUCGAAGUUAACCAAAAUGUCAUCAAUUGAAUCCAGCAAGAUUUCACUUCGAAGUUAACCAAAAUGUCAUCAAUUGAAUCCAGCAAGGUAUUUUCUCAGCCUUUUAGCUUUUUUGAGAAAAACAUUUUUUUUGACAAAAUUGAAAAUUUUGAAGUUUUUUGCAGGUCCGGGGUCAUGAAUUUUUUCAAAAAUAUCCAAGGCUUUUUUUUCAAAAAAUGAGUCUA